GGCGGCGUAGCUCAGUGGGAGAGCGAUAGUCUUACACACUAUUGGUCAAUGGUUCAAAUCCGUUCGCCGUCA
rnacentral:tRNA from 1 species